rnacentral:tRNA from 1 species
GGGCCGGUAGUUUAGCCUGGUACUGCGAUUCCUUCUCGUGGAGGAGGUCUCGUGUUCAAAUCACGACCGGUCCACCA